rnacentral:lncRNA from 1 species
AUGCUGGCUGCAGGGUGCAGGACGGUGUCCCCGGGGCUUGUCUGGUCCCUCAGUGAGCAAUGCCAGAGACUUGGGGCUGCCCCCACAGUCCAGCAGGGAACUAGGAAGCAGAGGCAGAAGCCAGGAACAGGGACAGCUGGGUGGCUGAGCUCCCCAACCCAGGUCCAGCCCUCCCUCAAGGUGUGGCUUGUGCAAGAAAUGGAUCCACAGCUCCAGUUCCAAAUCUGGCGCUGCCCAGGCCGGUCACCUCCACAGCAAGCAUGGACUGUACAAAGUCAAGCGCCUUGUCAGGAAGAAGGGGUCACCAGUGCCAGGCUGAGGACCCCUCUGUGCAGCUGCCUGGAGACUUCUGCAUGACCUUCCCUUGGGAUGGCAGCCGGGCCUGGCAUCUACCCACCCACUAGCCACAUGCUUCCUGCCCCAAAUGUCAUUUCACCAUGAUAUAAUGAGCUGUAUAAAAUUAAAAAUGGCUAAAUACUACCUUAUUUACAGUAAUUUUCUACUUUCUGAAGUCAUCCCCAAACCUCUCCUUCACAACUUCCAGAUCAUGCCAAUUGCCAAUUGCAGCGAGAAGCCCAUCAUUACAACCACAGACCGCGAGGAAACCAGCACAGGAUCUGGAGCUUGCUGGCUCACUGGCUGCUGCGCUGGCCCCACCAGCCUGUUUUUCCAUCACAUGCCUUUUAGGCAGUAGAGAACUGGGCAGAGGGAACCCUCAGUUCUCUGCCCCAACCAAGCUGGGGACCCUUGAGAAUAUCUCCAAGUAAGCAGCUGGUUCAGAUGAACAUGUAUGUCCACUUGCUGGAGUUGAUGUCAGGAUUCAGGCUUCUGCGGUCCGCACUUGGGCCUUACAAAGUGUGAAUCUUAUUUGUAGGUGGCCCUUGAGUCACUGUUGUGUCUCUUUGUGGACAGUCUUCCAGCACCCUGCUUCUUCCUAAGGCUAUCUGUUAUGGACUGCCUUGUGCACCUUUUCCAGCCUCCAGUUCAUUUGUUGAUGCCACAAUUGGCUCAGAAUGUGACUAUGUCUCUAACAAGGGCCUUUAGGAGGUCAUAAGUGAAACAAGGUCACACGGAUGGCCCUCAACAGAUAGGACUGGUGUCCUUAUCAGAGGAGGAAGAAAUCCUGGAGCUUACUCUCCCCAUGCUCACAGAGAGAAACAGGGUCCUGCCGACAUCUCGAUCUUCCAACCUCCAGACCCAAGAGAAAAAAAUUUCUGUUGCUUAAUCCACUUGGUCUGUAGUACUUGAUUAUGGCAGCCUUAACAAAUGAAUAUAUCAUCUGUGUAAUUUCUUAUAUGAUAAGGUCUUACAAUGAAACAUAAAUGAAUCGAUGGCUAUUUCUACCAGGAGACUGAUAAGAAUCCUUGAGUUAUCAUGGGAAGAGUUAAAUUAUCCAUUCUUCAUCCAGUUUAACCACUUUUUUCUUAUUGGUAAAAACUCUACAGUUGAAAUUAUUCAAGACAUUAACAAAAACUAAACUCUAUUUCCUGCUCCUCCCGUUCCCAUCCCUUUUUUUUUUUUUUUUUUUUUUUUUUUUUUUUUGAGAUAGGAUCUUACUCUGUGGCUCAGGCUGGCCUUGAACUUUCUAUCCUCCUGCCUCAGCCUCCUGAGUGCUGGGAUUACAGGUGUGUAACCACCACAUCUGGCAUCCCACUACUCCUAAUCACUCUCAUUCCUCCACCUCUGGUCUUACCCUUGGCAAGUCUGGGCAUUGGUGUGUUGACAUUGAACAGUUGUCUAGGCCACCUCUGUGUUAGGCACUGGAGGUCCAGGAAUGAAGGAAGCAGAUCGUGGUCCUUGCUCUUACAUGGCUUCUGUUGAUGUAGGGGAAAGCAGAAAUAAAAAUAAACAAGGAAUAUGUCUGAGAGUGAAAAGCUGGCGAGGAAUUCAAACCACAGCAACGUGAUAGUGGCUGAGAGCCUGCUGAGAUGGCAAAGGGAAACCUGUCCUGUCCACCUUUAAGGAACAUUUUCCAUCUUCCAUCCGUUGCCACCCACACCACAUGAGCCCAAGCCCCUUGGAUGGGCUCCUGCCACAGCUUUCUAACUGGUGGUAUAUCUGCCACCUCGUUGGCCCUGCUGUAAUGUACUUUUCAUAUAGCAGUCAGUGGAUUAUUUUAAAAAUGCAAUCAGUUCUCAUUAUUCACAGUAGGUUAUGCUCUAUAAAGUCAACUCAAACACUGAAUUAGGGAAUUCUGAAACAUCGCUCCUGGGGGCAACACAGGCCUGGGUUCCUUCAAGCCUCUGGCCACAAUACUCCUCUGCCUGUCGCUGUGUGGCCUCCGUUUAUGUGAGUUUCUGUGUAGACACCUUGUUUAACCCAUAGUGCUGACUCACUAACAUCGAAUGCUCUGCCAACUUCGCCACAGCAGCCUGUGGAGCUUUUCCACCGCGUGUGGAGCCCCAUGAAGCCCAGCUAGCCUUCCUGCACUCCUCACAGAGACCCUGCGCUGCUCUAAGGGAACGUGGGCCUGAGAGGUGGGAUCUUAGAAAGCAAAAUCAAUGAAGGAAAGACUAGAAGGGCAAAGAAAGAAAAGAGGCACAGAAAACAUUGUUCACAUUCUGAAUGGAAACAAAAGGCAGAGCGUCUCCCUCCGACCUUAGCUGGGAGCCCACAGAUUGGGUGACUCACACUUUCACUUUGCUCCUGUCUGUGAGUGACUGCAGAUUUGCUGCCCAGUGUUGAUUUAGGGUUACACACAUGUACUUGCGCUAGCAUGUGCACGCUUGCGUGCGCACACACACGCGCGCACACACAAAUAUGGUUUGAAAGUGCCUCAUCCAAAAUCCAGGAGUUGCUAAUGUGAUAGUACUAAGAGGUAGGACCUUUGAGGGACAAUGAGGCCAUGAGGCUCUGCAUCUUUGAAGGGGAAGGACCCAGCAAUUCAGACCAUCUUGCAAGUGGAGGGCGGCCCUCACUAUGGUGUUCACUGAACCUGCUGGUGCCUUGUUCUCAGACUUCUUGGUUUCUAGAACUGUGAGAAAUAAAUUCUAUUUUUUAUAAAUUACCCUGCUUCAGGCCUUUUGUUAUAGUAACACAAAGGCAUGCGCUCACACUGUGCAUACACACUACCUUCUUGUUUGUCCUUCCCCAUUUUUGUUUCUCAGUUUGCUCAUCACAGCAGGAACAUUUCUCUUUAUUCCACUGGUGAGCUACAAGUGCUAUGCAGGAGUAGAUGGUUAGAGAAAUAACAGACUCAGUGUCCCACACUUUCAAUAUUUGUUAAGUAAAAUGGCCAAGCACUUUAGUAAAAGUCCUUGAGUUAUGAGCUCUUUCUUUACCCUAAAUUCCCCAGCCCUAGUCAAUGUCUAGCUGUGGAUACCUAAUUUUGAUAAGUGACUGAAUGAAGACUAGAGUGACAUGUUUUAAACAUUAAACUAAAAUAGAACAGGGC